UGGAAAUCCGGGGUGAAGAUGCAAGGUGAAGGUGGUCACUGAAGGGCACAACUGCUCCUGUUGCAAGUGGUACUCGAUGCAUAGGUUAAGUCAGUUUUUGGGUUUAAGUCCUUUUUUUUUUUAUGACGGGGCAGCCGCUAUCCUUCGGAUGGUCACUGGGCAAACCCUCGGGCUGACGUAAUAGUCUACAAACCACGCCAGCCAGGUAAACUGUACUAGACAAGCUCCGUACGACAGACUCGACCAAGAAAAUCUUAAUAGAAAUAAUCGAACUCGUGACCAAAGGCUAUUACAUCAGCCUGAGAGUUUAAGUCCAUUUUUGCUAUGAUUUGUGGUUGUUUUUGUAGUCAUGCUAUUGUAGAAGAAUUAGCAGAACACGGAGCUAUUGUGUACACAUGUUCACAGAAGCAAAAUCAACUCGAUGAAUGUCUAGAAAAAUGGAGAAGGGCUUGAAAGUCACCAGUCUGUCUGCGGAGAAUCUAAUGGAGAAAGUGGUCCAAAAUACUUCGACGGGAAGCUUAAUAUCCUCGUAAGUCGCCUAUUUUAUGAAAUGCUAGAUCUUUAUCGUGUUAGAUGUAUUCGCCUAUAACUCUUCCCACGGUCCCCACAUCAUAUCUCAUUGAUGUGGCCAACCUAACUAUUCAAGUUUUUGGAUGAAAAGGUUCAACGUGACCUUAGAAGAAGCACAAGUCCAAGAUUAAGUCUCGAAGUCACUCAACUGUGCAUGUGUCAUUUGUUUGACUGAAAAAAAGUGAAUAUGUCGUGCAUGUGAUGAGGACAAAUUUAAUUAGGUUGAUGUAUCCCAACUUUAAUAGAAGAAGCAUUCAGAGGAGUCGUUCAUAAUCCAAUGGCCAAGUUGCAGAAAUAGAGAAAGAGGGAAUAAAAAAUGAAAAGGCAACAUGUUCAUAAUAGGAUUACAUAAUGGUUCAUAUACAAUUGAGGUGGUAAAAAAAGAGUGGAUAAUUAUUUAUUUAUUUAUUUUAUAUUUUGUUGAAGAAAUUCUGAUACAUAAUGGUUCACAUAUAGUUGAGGUGGUAAAAAGAGAGUGGAUAAUUUUUAUUUUUUUUAUUUUGUUGAAGAAAUUCUAAUUUAGUCAUAUCUAUCUACAAUAUGUGUAUAACCAUUAUGUACAUAUAGGCGGAGCCAGAAAGAUAUAUUGGGGCUAGCUGAAAUUUAAUUUUUUUUUUCAAUAGAUUCAUACCAUAAAAGAUGCUCUAGGUCACACUAGACUUAGUUUAAAAAGGUUAAACUCAUGAUGCUCUUGAGAAAAUGUAUCGAAAUAUAUUUUUGAACACUCAUAAUAAAGUUCUAACAAAUAUAUUUUUAACUGAUAAAAUUAAAUAUAGGGCAUAUUACUUAUUUUGAUAAUAACAUCCAUUUUAUUGUCGAAAUAAAUAAAUUUUUAACUUAUAAGUAUAAAUAAAUAAUAUAUGAAAAAAUACAUUAGAAAAAAUUUAAUUACUUUUAAGCUUAAUCAAACAUGUGACAUUCCACAUUGUUAAAAUAAGUCAUUUAUUUUUACUUUAAUCAAUAAAAAUUUUUGUUAUAUAAUAAACUAAUUCGCUUAUAAGUGAACUCUUUAAACUUAGUUAAAUAUAUAUGAAAUAAAAUACCUAAUUUGAUAACAAGUUAUUUGUGUAUCAUGAAUGUGAAUGAAAUAAAUAUGUAAUUGUUGUAGAGCCUUAAAUUAAAUUUGAUAAUUAAAUAUUUGACUUGCGUUGGAAAUGAAGUUAAUUAGUCUAAACUUAAUUUUUGGGUUGGACUAAAAUUUUUAUUCUUUUUUAUUUCAUCGUGAAUUUGGACUAGAUUUUCCAUUUUUAGAAGUCAGUACUUGCUUUUGGGCUGGGUCAAGGCUGGGCUAUAUCCUAGUCCAGCCCCUCUCUCCAUCCCCCAUGGAGAAGAAGAAACCCCAGUCCAGAUUUAUAAACACGACCCCAUAGCCACAAUUCACGGCGCUUUGACAUUCACAGGUAGCGAAAACACAACACUCAUUUCCCUCUCAACUUACAUUCUUCUCCCUAAAAAUCAUCAAGAAUCCACCACUAGGAAUUGCAUUCCAAUGUUCAUCCUAAACAAACUUAGCACACCAUAGGUUGACAUGGCUAGGCAUCGUUCACUUCUAGUCACCAACUUCGUCCCCUCGUCAAACCCAAGAAACCAUCGUUUGGCCUCAAAUUUGAACAUGAGUAAGACCAACAUAUAAUCUUUCACACGUCUGGAGAUCACUCGGGAAAAGUUCACUUUUUCCUAUGAUGAAAGUCCUUGGUUGAAUUUGGGUUAAAAGGUGAAAAUUACCUCUUUAAUGCUAGUUUAGGGAAUGUGAACUAUAUUUUCUUCAUCUAUUGAAUACAUACCCCAUAUCAAGACAGAUUUCUUGAGCAUGGCAUGAGUUUUUACACUUUGGUGCACGAAAAUUGACAUAGAGUAGUAGUUUGGAGCCCCACUUUUCUCCUACUUUUAUGUUUGUUACCUAUUACGCUAAUAGUUUUCAUCUUACAUGUCCAUAUAGGUAAAAUGUCACCAAAGAGAAAAAAAUGUCGCUCAAGAGAAGAGAAAGUUCAAAGUGAGCGAGACAUUGACCAUUUUUGGAGGGCGGGCUAUAAUCUUAACGACAGUUAGGAGUCGACUGGAGGGGGCCGUCAAGUCAUUGCAGCCAACUUCUUCUGCCAGCCAACUUGAGUAAUCAAAUCCUUUGACUCAUCCACAUCUAAUCCCAGGGAGUUUCAGAUCCUCACUCAUUUAUUUUGAUUGUUUUUGUUUUUAUAUUGGAG
rnacentral:lncRNA from 1 species